rnacentral:rRNA from 1 species
AUACGGAGGGAGCGAGCGUUAAUCGGAAUUACUGGGCGUAAAGCGCGCGUAGGCGGCUUUGUAAGUCGGAUGUGAAAGCCCUGGGCUCAACCUGGGAAUGGCAUUCGAUACUGCAGAGCUAGAGUAUGGUAGAGGGAAGUGGAAUUUCCGGUGUAGCGGUGAAAUGCGUAGAUAUCGGAAGGAACACCAGUGGCGAAGGCGACUUCCUGGGCCAAUACUGACGCUGAGGUGCGAAAGCGUGGGGAGCAAACAGGAUUAGAUACCCCAGUAGUCC